rnacentral:rRNA from 1 species
UCGAGCGAACCUUCGGGUUAGCGGCGGACGGGUGAGUAACGCGUGGGAAUAUGCCUCUUGGUACGGAAUAGCCUCGGGAAACUGGGAGUAAUACCGUAUGUGCCCUUUGGGGGAAAGAUUUAUCGCCAAGAGAUUAGCCCGCGUUGGAUUAGGUAGUUGGUGGGGUAAUGGCCUACCAAGCCGACGAUCCAUAGCUGGUUUGAGAGGAUGAUCAGCCACACUGGGACUGAGACACGGCCCAG